UAAUAACCGUGUCCGGUGCCCCUAUUAUGACGAGCUACAUGCCAUUCUUNGUGGGGAUGCCUCAGUAGCACCGAAAAGACUGGCAACCAGUUUGUCCGUCAUGCGGGAGGUUCCACGUACCAACGCUACUGUCACUUCCUACUCGGCGUCUCCUUCCAACCCCGAACUUUUCAAUAGCUCAUUCGCAACCAUAGAUCUGGAUACCUACCUGAGCGAAGACUCUGGUAAGGGAAUCAUUAUUCUUUUCAGCUUGACUGGCUGCUUUCACUGACAUAUUCCCUACGACUAUAAUGGUAACCCUUUUUAUCUUGCAGGUGCUGCGGCUACUGAAGCAGGGCUUUCACGUGUACACGAGGACGAGGAUACUUGUGUGGCGGAACUCCAGGGAAUCCUUGAUGAAGACGAUACCGCCAGCGGACAGUCAGAGAGCAGACGAGAACACAUUCCCCGGACCUCAUCCUCCAUUCCGGAAGCCAGGGAGGACAAUUUAUCGGUGUCAUCCAUGACAUCAACAGGCAGCUCAGCUGAAGUCACUGAAAGCACCACACGUGGCAACACGCAGGAUAGGCAACCAUCAGAGCCCCCUCUCGUGCUCCCACAGAACAGUGGCAGGGCCGCUGCAGACGCAUCUGGUAGCAGCUCAUGUAAGUAUCCAUAAUCCUCCACCCUUGCCAGGGACUACCUGUGUCACAGGCAACACGGGAACGCAAACAUACGAUACUAUGCCGCCGUUGUCCACCUGUCCCCCUACCACUCCGAACCUCCUCAGUGUGCUUUUGGAGAGCACAUGUUACCUACUGC
rnacentral:lncRNA from 1 species